rnacentral:tRNA from 1 species
AUCUUGAUAGCUUAAGUUAAAGCUUUGAAUUUUUAAUUCAAAAAUGAUCCAAUGAGUCGAUCUCAAGAUC